rnacentral:lncRNA from 1 species
CAGGUUUGGUUCCUCAACCACCUCGGCUUCCUCUUCAUCAUUCAGCAACAAGCCUCGCAGGUUCGGUUCCUCAACCACCUCUGCUUCCUUCUUCAUCAUUCAGCAACAAGCCUCACAGGUUCGGUUCCUCAACCACCUCGGCUUUCUCUUCAUCAUUCAGCAACAAAUCUCGCAGGAUCGGUUCCUCAACCACCUCGGCUUCUUCUUCAUCAGUCAGCGUUCAAGCCUCGAAGGUUCGGUUCCUCAACCACUUCGGCUUCAUCUUCAAAAGAUCAACACCUCGCUUACUUCAUCGCUCACCCACAGCAACACUUCUCUAACUCCAACCAUGAUAUAAAUAUCUAUACUUGGACUUGGAGGACUAUUAUUUGGGGUUCAAAAAUUCUUUCGAUUUUUUACCCCAUUAAAGUCCACGCAUUACAUAAAUGAAUAUACUUGGACUUGGGGGACUAUUGUUGCGUGUUGUCACACCUGGCCAACCUACCUGGGACAAUGGCCCACUCAUGGCGAUCCACGUGGCAUUCCUACCGAGGUGGGGCUACAUCCGAACUACUGAGCCGAAGUCCAUCCGCCGAGGCCUACGAACCGAAGCCGCUGCUGGAACCUGUUGAGAGCAGCUGAUGCCCUCAAGUGGAAGUAUCAUGACAAAUGGCCGAAGCCCCGAAGCUGAUGCGCGAGCCUCUGAACCACAGGGAAACAUCCU